UACGAAGGGGGCUAGCGUUGUUCGGAAUCACUGGGCGUAAAGCGCACGCAGGCGGAUCGUUAAGUCAGGGGUGAAAUGCCGAGGCUCAACCUCGGAACUGCCUUUGAUACUGGCGAUCUUAGAGUCCGGGAGAGGUGAGUGGAACUCCGAGUGUAGAGGUGAAAUUCGUAGAUAUUCGGAAGAACACCAGUGGCGAAGGCGGCUCACUGGCCCGGUACUGACGCUCAGGUGCGAAAGCGUGGGGAGCGAACAGG
rnacentral:rRNA from 1 species